GGGCAGCACGAAUAGCAAUAUUUGGUGGCGACCGGCGCACGGGUGCGUAACACGUAUGUAACUUACCCUUCACUGGGGAAUAGCCUUCCGAAAGGAAGAUUAAUGUCCCAUAACAUUUCGAAAAGGCAUCUUUUUGAAAUUAAAGCUCCGGCGGUGAAGGAUAGACAUGCGGGACAUUAGCUAGUUGGUGAGGUAAUGGCUCACCAAGGCUACGAUGUCUAGGGGAUCUGAGAGGACUAACCCCCACACUGGCACUGAGAUACGGGCCAGACUCCUACGGGAGGCAGCAGUAGGGAAUAUUGGGCAAUGGACGCAAGUCUGACCCAGCCAUGCCGCGUGCAGGAUGAAGGCGUUAUGCGUUGUAAACUGCUUUUAUACAGGAAGAAACGACUCUUGCGAGAGGCAUUGACGGUACUGUAUGAAUAAGCACCGGCUAACUCCGUGCCAGCAGCCGCGGUAAUACGGAGGGUGCAAGCGUUGUCCGGAUUUAUUGGGUUUAAAGGGUGCGCAGGUGGUUUAUUAAGUCAGUGGUGAAAGACGGUCGCUCAACGAUUGCAGUGCCAUUGAAACUGGUAGACUUGAGUAAAGUAGAGGUGGGCGGAAUUGAUAGUGUAGCGGUGAAAUGCAUAGAUAUUAUCAAGAACUCCAAUUGCGUAGGCAGCUCACUUGGCUUUUACUGACACUCAUGCACGAAAGUGUGGGUAUCAAACAGGAUUAGAUACCCUGGUAGUCCACACUGUAAAC
rnacentral:rRNA from 1 species